AGUGGGUUUAGGCCCACGGCAAACGGGUUCGGAAUACAUAGAAAUUUCCCUCAGAGUCGUGAAUAAUUCGGAGAAAUCCGAGCUAAUACACGAUACGCUCUACGGAGUAAAGAUUUAUCGCUUUGAGAUGAGCCUGUGUCCUAUCAGCUAGUUGGUGAGGUAAAAGCCCACCAAGGCUAUGACGGGUAGGGGGUGUGAGAGCAUGACCCCCAACAUUGGAACUGAGACACUGUCCAAACACCUACGGGUGGCUGCAGUCGAGAAUAUUCCACAAUGGACGAAAGUCUGAUGGAGCGACGCCGCGUGCGGGAUGAAGGCCCUCGGGUUGUAAACCGCUUUUUUCAGGGAGCAAUUUCGAUGAGAGUACCUGAAGAAUAAGAGGUUACUAACUCUGUGCCAGCAGUAGCGGUAAUACAGAGACCUCAAGCGUUAUCCGGAUUUAUUGGGCGUAAAGCGCAGGUAGGCGGGUUUAUUAGUCGGAUGUCAAAGACCGGGGCUCAACUCCGGGAAGGCAUUCGAAACGGUAUACCUAGAGAAUGUGAGAGAUGAGUGGAAUUCAUGGUGUAGUAGUGAAAUGCGUUGAUAUCAUGAGGAACACCGAAGGCGAAGGCAACUCAUUGGCACAUUUCUGACGCUGAGCUGCGAAAGCGUGGGGAGCGAAUGGGAUUAGAUACCCCAGUAGUCCACGCUGUAAACGAUGCAUACUAGGUGCAGGGAGAAUCGACCCUUUCUGUGCCGUAGCUAACGCGUUAAGUAUGCCGCCUGGGAAGUACGAGCGCAAGCUUAAAACUCAAAGGAAUAGACGGGGAUCCGCACAAGU
rnacentral:rRNA from 1 species